AACACAGCUUUUGGAAGUUUCCCAGAGCAAACCUUCAAUCACACUGAAACUGAGUCAAAGAACACCUUAAUCUGACUUCAUCAUUUACAUCAGUGAGAGAAGAAACAUGGAUUUUAUCUUCAAGAAUUUUGAAGCUUCCAGAAAUUCUCUUGAGAAGUUAUAAAAAGACAAUUUCAAAGCAAAACUCAAGCUUCUAACCAAAGUGUGUGUACCAAAUUUCUAGGCUGACCACUGGAAACUUCCUCUAGGAAAAAACAAAAAGGGCCCGCAGCUAGAAGAGGUAAGGGGUUCAGGCUAGAGUGCCU
rnacentral:lncRNA from 1 species